AUCCUGGUAUGCACUCUUUUCUGCGUGUUGCUCUGCCCCCUAGUGGUUAUUAACGGAAAUAUGCACACCGACCCCCGCCUUCAUUCAUAAAAAUAGUAGAAUCACCAUUAAAAUACGCUUUUAGGUAGAAAAAAGGUGUAGAAAUAGGCUGUAUAAAUAAUAAUAAUAAAAAUGGAUAAAAAUUAAAUUUGUAGCUAAAAAAGUAAAUGAUGCUAAAUCAAUGAAAUCAAUGAAAGCUGAAGUAGCUAGCAUUGAGAUAAAUGCUAAAUUAUGUACCAUACAUAGACAUAGUUACCAAAAAUAGACCAAAACGUAUACAAAGAAAUUUUUAAUUUAGUCCACGAAUAUUUACCAUUCUGCUCAAGAUACACUAAAUACUAAAGCAUAAAAGGCAUAUAUUUGUAUACAUCAAGCCAUAUCACAAACUAUAUACAUGUUUUUUAAAUUAUUUUUUAUAACUACUAAUUAUAAUUAAACACCAAACAGCACUGUGGAUGUAUAAAAAAGAAGUGUGCUCUGCCCUCACAGCUGAUUUCCAGAAUAGUAAUUUAUUUAGUGAAACUCUUGACUCACGCGCCCCCUGGUUCCAUCCAGUACACUUUACAGGAAUGGUAUGAGAUCAUAGGAAAGAGAAAAUACCCGACAGAAUGAGAAAUGCGAUGUAAUGUGACACACACUGAAACGUAGCAGAGGUUUCCCUUCGCUGUUGACAACAAUCAGAAGGCUGCAUUAUCUGCAGCGUUGUUGAUGUGUUACCUUAGCAUGUGUUCAAUAAGAGAAAUACUGAUGCAUUAAAAACGCAUUGUAAUGAAAUAUACUAUAACAGCUAUGGAAAAAAGAAAAACCCCACUGUGAGACCGGAAGAGAAUUUAUUGUACCACCUCAAGUGUUUUUUUUUAAUUCAAGGAAAGGCUAAUUAUAGAUGCAUUCACAUGCUGUUUAUUUAUUUAUUUAUUCAGCCAUACACAAAUCAAGAUAGCACAAUUGAUAAACUGUAAAUAAGGAGGCGUGAGAAAAUGUGGACUCUUUUCUUUUUUUUUUCCAAAGGGAAAAGGGAGUGGAAAACAAUAGACGUCCUGUGGAACCAGCUGAAUCAUAUCAUUUGGGGAAAUGUGGCUGAUAAACAAAAGUUGUGUCCGAGGUACUUUGUAGUUGUUAGUGAAAAUAAUUCUGACAUCUAACUGCCAGUCCAGUUCUGAAGUGUGUCUUGGGUUGUUUGUAAUAAUCAGACAAGUCGUUCCAUUCAACCAACAUAGCUUUUACAAUUCUAACCCUAAUCUCUGUGGGUCUGUGUAAUAUCUAUAUUUAUAUAUACAUAUAUAUUUUUUAAUCCAGGCUUCUUUGGCCAAUUAUGUAUUUCAUCCUGGCCAUCUGCUGCUAUACCCAAACAGUAUUCCACAUGUUGCUUCACUUAACAUUUUCUUAUCGAUAUACAUUGUAGUCUGUCAUCGUGGCUCAUUGAAGACAUUUUGUUUUAGCUGCAGACCUAUCUUUGACUACAUCAGGGGUAAUGUGUCAGCAAAGAGUUGAUAAAAUAAAAACUAAAAAAAUCCGGUGUUUAAUUCUUGCCUCAACGCCUCCCUCCUUUUUUUCCUGGAAGACAUUAUCAGAUACUCUUCAUCAGACUUUCAAUUUCUGACAUUUAUUCAAAUAAUAAGAGCCUGUAAGUGGCUGCACACCACAUAAAAUAUUCCAUAUAAAGUUCCUGGAAGAUUUUUGAAGCGCACAAAUGACUUUAUGACUGUCACGUUGAAUUAUAAUGUGCAUUUGAGUCAUUUGCAUUUCUAAGGUAAGUCCAGUGAAUUGUAAUGUUGUAAUAAUGUGUAUCAGCAGUCAUGUGUUCAGAUGUAAAAGGGACUGGGUGGAUAUUGUUCUUGUUUUUAGCAGGAAUUUUACGAUUUAUGCACACCAAAGCAGAGUAUUUACCAAAGCAGAGUAUUUACAAAAUUCAAAAAAGUUCAAAACCUUCUCCUGAGGACAUGCAAUUUAACUCGCUUCAAUCCUGAAACUUGCAGCUACAGCACUGGUUGCUGCACAGCCACAAACCAACAUGCAUUUUCUUCUCCUUCUCAUGAUUUUUUUUAAACAAUACCAGAAAUUAAUACCUAUCGUGGAGGUUUCAGAAAAAAAACAAAAAACGAAUUCCCUGAAGUAUUCUUACAUUUAGGUCUGCCUGUGAUCACAGGAGCCAGAGCACUGCUUGCACGAGUCACCGCGUGGGAGUCUCUCAAAGUGUUACUGUGAACUGUAAUGUGCUCAGUUCCUGGAAAGUGAUCUAUGCUGCUGACUCAUAGCUAAAUUCUUGCAGAAACCACACGCUUAAUACAUUGCUCUCGUCCUCAAACCUCCAAGCGGGUAUAAGACAUAAAAAACAUCCGGCUGUUUUCUAUGAACUUUGUUCCACGUGUUGCUCCAACCUACAUUAUUGUCAAUAACACUCUUUGAAAUUCCAAAUGCAACAGAUUAUUUAUUAUUAUUAUUACUUUUAUUUAUAAAUAAAUAAUGUAUUCAUCAAUUUCCUCAGAAACAAGUGUUCUGUAACUUUCAAUAAGUGACACAUGACACUGUGUGAUCGGUUUCAGCUCCACUCACUGUGGUGAUUAAUCUUGUUUCCCAGUAAUAGGUGUAGAAGACCAGUCAACAUGUUUCACCUGUCAAUGUUCCGUGUAGGAGGCACAAACCAAACAGCCACAGAAAACAAGACAAGGACAAACGUUUUGAUUACAGUAGAGGCAUGAGGGGAAAAAAGUAUCAUGUUUAUAUAAUGAUUGAGGUUAAACAUCUAACUAACAAGCCAACAAAAAUUACCUUUUCUAUACACAUCUUUCUAAGAGGAAUAUCAUAACUGUAUGAUCCAAAAUAAGUUUAACAAAUCAAAUUAAAAAAUAUUUUGAGCGAGUUCUCCACUUUCAUCCAUAGUGGAUUCUGUAUCAUCAUCCAUACAGAAGAGAAAAAAAAAACAAAACCCAAAAACACACAUCACUCUGGGGCACAUGUGUAAUCUCUCUUCUUUGAUUGGUUGGAUCCAUCCAUCUAAUUAGUCACAAUAAAGGGUUAAAAACAUGACUACAAUGACAGCUCUAUUAUCCUCAUGGUCAGAGAAAGAAAUAAUGGUCUGAUGCCACAGACUGACCCACUAUCAAAGGUCACAGUGAAAGAACUCUGUCCAACAGCUACACUAAGAAACAGUGUGUGUGAUCAUUCAAAUGUCUGGACCUGUCAGAAGGUUGUACUGUAAACUGUAAAAGUGCUUCCACCGACUGACAAAGCUGACUGUCCAUCUGUCGCCUCUAACUUUUGACAUGAAUGCUUUUAUCUCAAGUAUGUUCACAAUCUGAAGCUGUAAACAACUCACGUCAGAAGUAGAAGUACAACCUUUCACUUGUAUCUGAAACCAGAAGAGUAAACCUCAUGGCUGUGACUUCUCUUCAAACAGGAAAACAAAAGGGGAAAAGGAAAACCAGGUCGCCUCCCUUCCUAACAAACCGCUUCGUGAAAACGGAGCACCUUGUAACCCGAGACCAAUGGAGGUGUUCUUUCUCAGAGGAUAUUUUGGCCCAGGUCACUGAAACAAAGUUUACCACUCUGUCAGACAAUCUGCACAUCUUUUCCUGUUGACAAUUUCCACACCACUCUCUGGUUACGCAAAUGGCCGAGGGAGCCGAGUGUAGAGGGGAAGAGGUGCCGGUGAAUUCUGCUGAUUGAGUGGCUGGUUCAACAGCGUGAGUCAUGUCUCAACAAAUACUGGAACAUCAGCUAUCAGCAGGUGAAAUGGAGGAGUGCUGACAGGUACAAAGUCACAGCAAGACAGUGGAACAUUUGCCAUUUCAGCUGUAAUAUCUGCAGGUCUCUAUUUGUGAAAGUAACACAAAGCUAAAUAUUUUCAUGGUAUGUUCAAAAUCAGCAGCCAGAAAGUUACUCUGUGUCACAGAGAAGUGUGUUUACAUCAACUGGAUUACUGUAAAAAAAAAAAAAAAAACAGACCCAUGAAUGCAUCGGGCAGUGGUGGCUUAGUGGUUAAAGAAGGUGCAUGGCACCGUCCCCACACACUGCUCCCCAGGCGCUUAAAGCUGCUGACUGUUCACUUUGGUGAUGGGUUAAAAGCAGAUGUCAUGUUUGGUUGUGUACAGUCGUACUGUGGCUGAGCCGUUACUUGGAAAAUUCCAAACAACAUUCAGUUGUGAAAUACUUGGCAGAAACAGUGUAGGACGUACGUUGGGUAUUUGGUAAAAUCCUUUGUUUGAAUAAAGACACACUUGGGGCAAUACUCGUGUGCAUACUUGUGCUUAUACUCUUCAACCUCACACUGAGGAGUUCAUCACAAAGAAAUGUGACGCAUGGAGUGCUGAUUAACACCACUAUUAAAUUAAAAAAAAAAGUUUCCUGUUUGUGAGAAACGGUCCAAGUUAAUCCCUUACUCAUCACUCAUGUCUGACUUUAAAAAAAUCUCUCACCAAGAACACUGAAUCAAAUUGUUUAGAGUAAAAGGGUUUUAUUUGGAAACAUAUACUUUUAAAACACCUUCAACAAUUCAGGUUUAACAUACAUAGUAAAAUCAGCUCAUCUCACCUCCAAAAACAUCUCGAGGUUACAUCAGCUUCGGUCAGAACAAGUCUGAUUAUAAGGUGUUGGUAUCACUACAGCAGCUGAAGUGGGUCAGAACUUCACCAAGAGCUGAGCAGCAAAAAAACCCAAAAAACACCACCAAGUAUUUUCUUGCUGCAGACUCUCG